CCAGGGAAGCCCCUUCUCUGAUUCUUUGUAAAGUCACCAAGGACAUUAUCUAAAACCCAAUGUCUCUUUCUCGGUCUUUAUCCCAUGCAGUUUUCCGAAGCACAUGGCAUUUGUGCUAUUUCCUGAAAUGCGGUUGUCUGUUCGACCUGCCCACAGGUCCUGCCCAUGUCUGUCCUUGUCGGGCAUGCUGUCCUCCCAAACUCUAAAAGUCAUAUUCCCAAAGCACACUUUGGCCCUUUGUUUUUCUUCUGAUACGUGCCUUUUUUUAAAGAGAGUUGGUCAUGUUUUGUACGUUUCCAGCCUGACGUUCAGUGAUUAACUCCCAGAUCGGCAGGCUUAGACAGCUUCCUGCUCAUCUGCAGCCCCUCUGGGCAGCUCCUCAGCUUUUCAACAUCACCAGGUUCAGAAGGAAACUUAUCUCCUUCCCGAGGGAGCUCCUCCUCCAGUGACGUCAGGCUUGGCCAAGAGGCCACCAGGCAUCUCAGCUCCUGGGAGAAAGUCAUUGCAAUUCGACUUCUUCCUUCCUUCUCUCCAGCCUUGGCCUUGGCAGGAAGCAGAGUGGCCUCCUCAGCCUUUCUACUCCCAGACGCCCCGUGAGAACAAAUGGCCUGGGAUGGGCCAAUAAACUCCUCCCACUCAGGACUCUGAAACUGGAGAGGGUACCAAAGGCCAGGGAGGAAGAGAUGGAGUUUGCUUUUGCCGGAAGGAUCCCAGAACUUCCCUACGGAGGCCAUGAACCCUCCUGGUCUCCCCCCUCUCCCAGCUCCUCCAGCCCCGCCCUCUGCGAACUACCUGAUAUCCUUCAGUAAGUCCCUGUUCUGCUUAAGAUAGCCAGAGGUACUCUCCCUUCUUGCAACCAAAACCCCUAAAUGACGCAAACACUAGGAUUUUGAAAGCUGGAAACAGAUGGGGAGGGAGCUUAGAACACUGAGGACAGAGAGGGGGAAAGUGGGAGGACUCCAGGAGGACAGGAGAUACUCCAUUUAGAAGGAGCAAAGGAUGCCUGCAGAGGAUCCUGAGGAGAUAAGACCAGGAGAUACAGGAAUUAAGUGUGGACAUCAUCACGGUGGCGGGAUGACUCAUUUGGUGCCUGUACCAAAGAACGCCGAAAGUUAAUAGGACUUCCCUGGUGGCGCAGUGGUUGAGAAUCCACCUGCCAAUGCCGGGGAAAUGGGUUCGAGCCCUGGUCCGGGAAGAUCCCACAUGCCGCAGAGCAGCUAAGCCCACGUACCACAACUACUGAGCCUGCGCUCUAGAGCCCGUGAGCCACAACUACUGAGCCCGCGUGCCACAACUACUGAAGACCGCGCGCCUAGAGCCUGUGCUCCGCAACAAGAGAAGCCACCGCAAUGAGAAGCCGGCGCACCAGAGUGAAGAGUAGCCCCCACUCACCGCAGCUAGAGAAAGCCCACGCACAGCAACGAAGACACAACGCAGCCAAAAAACAAUUUUUUUAAUAAAUAAAUAAAUAAAACGUUAAUAAAGCAUAUUUGUUUUUCUGAA